UACGGGGGGAGCAAGCGUUGUUCGGAUUUACUGGGCGUAAAGGGCGGGUAGGCGGCCACCGCAAGUCAGUUGUGAAAUCUCCGGGCUUAACUCGGAAAGGUCAACUGAUACUGCGGGGCUAGAGUGCAGAAGGGGCAACUGGAAUUCUCGGUGUAGCGGUGAAAUGCGUAGAUAUCGAGAGGAACACCUGCGGCGAAGGCGGGUUGCUGGGCUGACACUGACGCUGAGGUGCGAAAGCUAGGGGAGCGAACGGG
rnacentral:rRNA from 1 species